GGACCCGUAGCUCACCAGGAUAGAGCGCAACCUUCCGAAGGUUGAGGUAGCGUGUUCGAUUCACGCCGGGUUCACCA
rnacentral:tRNA from 1 species